rnacentral:misc_RNA from 1 species
UUGCCUUGUACACACCGCCCGUCACACCAUGAGAGUUUGUAACACCCAAAGUCGGUGGGGUAACCUUUUAGGAGCCAGCCGCCUAAGGUGGGACAGAUGAUUAGGGUGAAGUCGUAACAAGGUAGCCGUAGGAGAACCUGCGGCUGGAUCACCUCCUUUCUAAGGAAUUAAUCGGAAACCUACACAUUGUCGAAACUUUGUUUAGUUUUGAGAA